rnacentral:rRNA from 1 species
CCUACGGGGGGCAGCAGUGGGGAAUAUUGCACAAUGGGGGAAACCCUGAUGCAGCGACGCCGCGUGAGUGAAGAAGUAUUUCGGUACGUAAAGCUCUAUCAGCAGGGAAGAAAAUGACGGUACCUGACUAAGAAGCCCCGGCUAACUACGUGCCAGCAGCCGCGGUAAUACGUAGGGGGCAAGCGUUAUCCGGAUUUACGGGGUGUAAAGGGAGCGUAGACGGUAGCGCAAGUGUGGAGUGAAAUCCCAUGGCUUAACCAUGGAACUGCUUUGGAAACUGUGCAGCUAGAGUGCAGGAGAGGUAAGCGGAAUUCCUAGUGUAGCGGUGAAAUGCGUAGAUAUUAGGAGGAACACCAGUGGCGAAGGCGGCUUACUGGACUGUAACUGACGUUGAGGCUCGAAAGCGUGGGGAGCAAACAGGAUUAGAUACCCUAGUAGUC